CCUGCACUGCGAAAAGAGCUGUGUGCGUUGACCCGGUCCUUUCGGUUCCGGAUUCCUCAGCCCCCAGCCCCCCGGGGUCGACGGGAUCGGGUCUGUACGCGCGACAAGGAGGGCCAACGCGAGUUGGUCCUUUU
rnacentral:sRNA from 23 species